GGAUUGUACGAAAUGAAUAUAGAAAACUUCGGAAUAACCUUCAAAACGUGCAUGUCCUAUAUUACAAUGAUGAUGUCAGUGAAAAAUUAAAUCAGCACUAUCUGUCGAAUGUAAUCGUUCAUACAUCCACUGUGUGUUAUAUAAAGUUUUACCAAGUAUACAAAUGAUAUGAUAGAUAAUUUACAUGUAAUGCUGGAUAUAUUAGACUGCUCUGACGAAUAGAAAUAUAAAACCACACACUUCA